AUUGAACGCUGGCGGCAGGCCUAACACAUGCAAGUCGAGCGGAUGAAGGGAGCUUGCUCCUGGAUUCAGCGGCGGACGGGUGAGUAAUGCCUAGGAAUCUGCCUGGUAGUGGGGGAUAACGUCCGGAAACGGGCGCUAAUACCGCAUACGUCCUGAGGGAGAAAGUGGGGGAUCUUCGGACCUCACGCUAUCAGAUGAGCCUAGGUCGGAUUAGCUAGUUGGUGGGGUAAAGGCCUACCAAGGCGACGAUCCGUAACUGGUCUGAGAGGAUGAUCAGUCACAGUGGGACUGAGGCACGGUCCAGACUCCUACGGGAGGCAGCAGUGGGGAAUAUUGGACAAUGGGCGAAAGCCUGAUCCAGCCAUGCCGCGUGUGUGAAGAAGGUCUUCGGAUUGUAAAGCACUUUAAGUUGGGAGGAAGGGCAGUAAGUUAAUACCUUGCUGUUUUGACGUUACCAACAGAAUAAGCACCGGCUAACUUCGUG
rnacentral:rRNA from 1 species